rnacentral:rRNA from 1 species
AUUGAACGCUGGCGGCAUGCUUUACACAUGCGAGUCGAACGGUAACAGGCCGCAAGGUGCUGACGAGUGGCGAACGGGUGAGUAAUGCAUCGGAACGUGCCCAGUCGUGGGGGAUAACUACUCGAAAGAGUAGCUAAUACCGCAUACGAUCUAUGGAUGAAAGCGGGGGACCGUAAGGCCUCGCGCGAUUGGAGCGGCCGAUGUCAGAUUAGGUAGUUGGUGGGGUAAAGGCUCACCAAGCCAACGAUCUGUAGCUGGUCUGAGAGGACGACCAGCCACACUGGGACUGAGACACGGCCCAGACUCCUACGGGAGGCAGCAGUGGGGAAUUUUGGACAAUGGGCGCAAGCCUGAUCCAGCAAUGCCGCGUGCAGGAAGAAGGCCUUUGGGUUGUAAACUGCUUUUGUACGGAACGAAACGGCUCUGGUUAAUACCCGGGGCUAAUGACGGUACCGUAAGAAUAAGCACCGGCUAACUACGUG